rnacentral:rRNA from 1 species
UAGGGAAUCUUCCACAAUGGGCGCAAGCCUGAUGGAGCAACACCGCGUAAGUGAAGAAGGGUUUCGGCUCGUAAAGCUCUGUUGUUAAAGAAGAACACGUAUGAGAGCAACUGUUCAUACGUUGACGGUAUUUAACCAGAAAGUCACGGCUAACUACGUGCCAG